rnacentral:rRNA from 1 species
CAGUAGCCGCGGUAAUACGAAGGGGGCUAGCGUUGUUCGGAUUUACUGGGCGUGAAGGGUGCGUAGGCGGACUGAUAAGUCAGGGGUGAAAUCCCAAGGCUCAACCUUGGAACUGCCUUUGAUACUGUUUGUCUUGAGUUCGAGAGAGGUAAGUGGAACUGCGAGUGUAGAGGUGAAAUUCGUAGAUAUUCGCAAGAACACCAGUGGCGAAGGCGGCUUACUGGCUCGAAACUGACGCUGAGGCGCGAAAGCGUGGGGAGCAAACAGGAUUAGAUACCCCCGUAGUCCCUGUCUCUUAUAC